rnacentral:siRNA from 1 species
AUUAGCUUUCAGCGAUUGCCUGUG